AACGAACGCUGGCGGCAGGCCUAACACAUGCAAGUCGAACGCCCUAGCAAUAGGGAGUGGCAGACGGGUGAGUAGCACGUGGGAACCUUCCCUAUAGUACGGAAUAGCCCAGGGAAACUUGGAGUAAUACCGUAUACGCCCGAGAGGGGAAAGACUUAUCGCUAUAGGAUGGGCCCGCGUAGGAUUAGCUAGUUGGUGAGGUAAUGGCUCACCAAGGCGACGAUCCUUAGCUGGUCUGAGAGGACGACCAGCCACACUGGGACUGAGACACGGCCCAGACUCCUACGGGAGGCAGCAGUGGGGAAUAUUGGACAAUGGGCGCAAGCCUGAUCCAGCCAUGCCGCGUGAGUGAUGAAGGCCUUAGGGUUGUAAAGCUCUUUUGUCGGGGACGAUAAUGACGGUACCCGAAGAAUAAGUCCCGGCUAACUUCGUGCCAGCCGCCGGAGUAA
rnacentral:rRNA from 1 species